rnacentral:tRNA from 1 species
GCGUCCGUAGCUCAGUUGGAUAGAGCGCCGGGCUUCGAACCCGUCGGUCGCAGGUUCGAGUCCUGCCGGGCGCGCCA